UAACACGAAACAAAGUCAUUUUCCCAGACAAGAAGUGGAAAAUGUCUGUGAAGCAAUCCAGUAUGCUACUGUUACUGAAGCAAGUUUAAACUUGAGUUAAAAAAGAUUCUUCUUAUUCUAUAGUCAGACAUUUUGAGACUUUGACUAACAUCUGAACAUAGCAGGAUUGGAUCCUGAUAAGAAAACUAAUUUUACUUCUAGAGGCUUUAAAGUUCUGAGUGAUGGAGAAGCUCUGACUGAUUACAGAACAAUGGCUUCACUAAUGGCUUCAGAAAAGGUACUUCCAAGCUUCAUUUGUGUGUGUCUGUAUUUUGUAUAGCACUGUUUUUGCCAAAACAUUCUGAGUCUAGCCCACAAAGAAACACAUAAGCUUUGCAUUUAUUAGCAUUAGAGUCUACACCAUUAAUAUAAAAACUCAACAGUACCAGUGCCUGGAUAUGAUGUUGCUUUACCACAGCACAAAAUAAAACCAGUUGCUAUUUGCAAGUGCAUAUGUGGUAUCAUGGUUCUAAAUCAUUUAAUAUUUCCUCAUUUUGAAAAAACAAAGCAUUUUGUAUAUUAAUUUAAAUAAAGUUAUUACUAUAGAACUUUUUUUAAAAAGAAAGACAUGUAAUAGCAACUUCAUGAGGUGACACAGUUGUGGAAAAUUUUAUGCAAAAGUUGUUAAAACCCUGUUUAAAACAAAUUUAUUUAUUAGCUGAAAACUAAUGUAGUCUUUUGGCUUAAUUUUUUUUUCAAUUGAAUACAAUGAAUGAAAAAUACCAUACAGCCUGGUUUUUGGUGGUAAUUUUUGAAUGGCUUAUCACUCUUUUUUCUUCGUGUUUUUGCUUUCAGUCAUAAACAACGAUGCACUUAACUUCAAAAAGAACUUAACGUAAGAUAUUUCUACUUGUUAAUUUUGCACUGAAAAGGCAUACUAGUGGUAUGAAAGGGAUCUCUUACUGAAUAAGGGUUGAAUACUGCUGUAUUUCCCAGUGUGCCAGAUGGUGGGAGAAAUGAAGAUACAAUCACCUCUCCUGAAAUUUACAUAAAAAUGAAUGUACAAACUGAGAUGAAAUUAAAAUGAGGGGAAAAAACUCACAAUGACCUUGAUGAACAGGGGAAAAGGAGAUGGUGAAAAGAAACAGCAAGUGAUAAGUUUUCCUCAGAGAUGAAGAUGAGAGCUCAGGGAAUCAAACAGAAUAUAGAACUCCAGGCUUCAAGCCACACAGUCAGAAAAAUCCACUAGGUAUAAUUACUAGUAGUCAUUACUGCUGAGCAUUUAAGCAGUCUUCGUAAGAUGAUCAAAAUAAUAAAUGAAAAAAAUGAGUACUUAUUAUUACUGCUGUUAUUUCAUAAUUAAAGACAGAGUAUGGGUGGUUGUGUACAACUCAAAGACAAUAUUUGGAUCUAUAAAAACAUACUUUGAAGCCAAGCAACCUUGCAUUUUAUUGAUGAUCAGAAAUAGUACAGCUAUUCAUAUCUCAAGGUUGGUUGUCUGAAUUGAGAGGACCAGGACUUCUUAUGGAUCUGAUAGGUUUUUUUGGCAUCUAAGACUUGAAUUGAAAGCAGAUCAGCUUAACUAUUUUUUUUCCUUAAAGAAAAAUCCCUUCUACUUUUCACCUCACUAUUACAGGAGGUUCUUAAGGGGCUCAAGAUAUAUGGUGAAAGUAGUUUGCUAAAGGUUGCUUUUGCUGUGAUGUAUUUUGCACAUGGACAGAAUGAGAAGGCUGCAGCUUCCAGACAAUGAAUGUUUGAUGUGAUAGCAAUGCUUUAAAAAGUUCAGUUUAACAUUUGCAAACUUGCACUUGAAAUAUGGCAUUUUUGUGUCACCUUGUAGAAAGUUCACAGAAAUUGCUGAAGACAGUAAGAAAUUACCAGUAUGCAAUUUUAAAGCCUCAGCUGUACUUGAAAUUCCAUACUUCUGGAUUCAACUUUUUUUUUUUUUUUUUUUUUUAACCCCUGAAAGCAUGAUGUGAAUUCACUAGUUCUAGACCUGACAUGCAUAGAAUCACAGCUCCCUGUUGGCUCAUCACCUGCCCCAGAAAGAGUUCCAUACUCUCCAGGCUAUCACUGACAUAAAUAGCUACUUCCCCUCCCUGUCUGCCUGUCCUGUCUUUCCUAAAGAGCCUGUAACCUUCCAUUCCAACACUCCAGUCAUAGCAGGCAUCCCACGUUUCUGUGAUGCCAAUGAUAUCAUAUCCCCAUAGCCAUGUACACAUCUCAAAUUCCUCUUGUGUAUUCCCCAUACUAUGAGUGUUUGUAUCUGAGCCAAGCUCCAAACGAAACCAACUCACUGGCUGGAGCAACUGAAAACAUCUCUGCAUCACUCCAAGCAUUUAUUACAGGUGCUAGCAACUGACUGGGGGUGUUGGGAUGGACUGAUGCCCCUCUCCCCCAACACAUCUAGUUUAAAGCUGCCUUGACCAGCCUAGCAAGCCUCCUACCAAAGCAGCUCUUCCUCUUGUCAGACCAGCUCCAGCAGCCUCCCAGACCCAGAUCUGGCCUCCCAAAUUGAGUCCCAUGUUCUCCCAAACCCCUGACAAUAGCACCACCAUUCUAAUCAUUUAUUAAUCUGCCGAAUCUGCCAGGGCUUUUCAAGGUCCUCCCCUUUGACCUGGAGGAUUGAUGAAAAAGCUAUCUGAGCCCCAGAGCCCCUCAUCACAUCUCCCAGUGCUCUGUAGUCCUCCUUAGUGAUUCCCAGGCUACUGCUGUCAGUAUCACUAGCAUCCACAUGGACCACAAGUGUGUAACAGUCAUCAGGACUUACUAGAUGAGGCAGCCUCUCAGCAACUUCCCUAAUCUGUG